AGGAAGGUGAUCUGGGGAAAACGCAGCUACACCUGAGCAAGGUCUCUUCCCGGCUUGGCAAUCCCAGCUGUGCCAGCGCUACAGGACCCGAGGCGUCCCAGAAACCAAAGGGCAGGCACCGCAGCGAAUGCCUGAGCCUGCCCUAUGCUUCAUGCAGGUUGAACAGAAGUGUUCUCUGAGCUUGUAUUGUUACAGCCCUCCGCGAUGGUGUAAAAGAAUGAAAGAAGACAUGACCUGCUUUCAGGAUUUUCAGAAGAAUGUUGGGCUGAAUACAGGGACAUGGAUGAAUCUGGAAAACAUCAUCCUCAGCAAACUGACACAAGAACAGAAAAUGAAACACCGCAUAUUCUCACUCAUAGAAAAUAAUACAGCCCAGUUCCUGGCUUUUGAAGAACUAGAGAAAAUCAUGGCCACGUGAAGGAAGGAGUCAUCAUUGGUGCCUCCAAGGCUCUUCGGUUGGUUCUGCAAUCAUAGGAACCCUUAACUGAUCUCCUGAGACUUUCUCCUCUCUCCACACCCUAGUACAACACCCCCCCACACCUGAUGGCAAAGCUUUGAGGUGAACUUCUCCAUCUUCUGGCUAAGAGUUAACCAGGAGUAAAGAACAGCUCCUGUAGUUCUAAAUCCUUUGGAUCCUCCUAUUGGCCCUUAACUGACUCUUCCUUAGUGAAUCUGCAAACUUUUGGAUGGGAGACAAAUAUGCACAAACUAUACCUACAAUUCAAUGUAGGACAAAGGCUACCUGGUACCAUAUUAAUAAGUGCCUGCAUUUGGAGUUUUAGAAUCUUAGGAUUUAAAAAAGGGCCUCAUUCAAUACCUCAGUUCCAGAUGAGAAAAUGAAGGCCCAGAAAAGUAAGCAAUUUGCCUAAGAUCUCACAGUGACCAGUGAAGGACCAGAGCUAGACUAGGCUCUCCCGUCAGCAGUCAGGGCGCUUCCCAGUGUCCUUCCUCCCCUGCAUGCUACUCACUCUUCAUUUUACAGAGACCUAUCUUCUGCAGGGAAAUGCACUGACGGAGUCCCCUGUGCUUUGCUCUUGGUGUUAUAAUUACAUCUCUAGAGGAUUCUUAUAUACCAUAGUAUGUUUCACAUUUUAGCAUCAUUGGAGCUCUCUGUGUAUCUGUGCACCUGCCUGGACUUCUUUUCAAAAGGAAUCCAUUCAUUAACAAAUCUUUCAGAAAAAAAUGUCUGUGAUGUCUGUGGCAUUAUCAGAAGUUAAUCAUUUAAAUCUAAAGGAAAGAGGAAAAAAUUACACAUAGUGGAUUAAAGAGUUCUUUUUUCAGCCAGGCGUGGUGGCUCAUGUCUGUAAUCCCAGCACUUUGGGAGACUGGGGUGGGUGGAUCACCUGAGGUAAGGAGUUCAAGACCAGCCUGGCCAACAUGAUGAAACCCCAUCUCUAUUAAAAAUGCAAAAAUUAGCUGGGCAUGGUGGUACAUGGCUGUAAUCCCAGCUACUCGGGAGGCUGAGGCAGGAGAAUCGCCUGAACCCAGGAGGCAGUGGUUGCAGUGAGCCAAGAUCGUGCCAUUGCACUCCGCACUGGGCAAAAAGAGUGAAACUCUUGUCUUGGAAAAAAAAAAAAGACAGUCAAGUGGAUUAUUUUCUACCAUCCUCCUUGGAAAAGUUUACAUUCAUUUCUUUCUCCAGCACAAAGCACAUUGAUAUUCUCAACUAAGAUCAGUUGACUGGUUAGAAUUACAGGUCUGAUUUUCUUUAAGAGAAACUUCAAGGUUUCUGAUUUUACUUUCUUCCAAAGGAAUUGUGUUUUUUUUUUCUUCAAGUAAUGAUCUUCAGAGAUAUUUUCCCCCUAAGUAAUAGUUUAGCAUAUUCUGUGAGCUUCAGAACAUCAACCUUAUCUGCAUUUAAGUCUCCAGAUUUUCAUAAUGAACAAUUUCGGUGAUUUCUUGGCUAUUAAACGGCUUUUUACAUGAAUAUGUUUUGUUAUGGGGAAUUAAUACUGCAGAUGAACAAAAAUGAGAUUUCUAUCCAUUUCCUCCAAUUUUUUUGGCCUAAACAUAUCUCUUUUACUCCAUGAAACAUGACUGAAGAUUAAUUCUUUUGCAAUGCAGAGGUGGGCCUUCCAGCCCCAGAGCUGGCCACACCCAUCAUAAAGACUUUUUAUUGAUGUAAUUAAUAAUUUGUAUAUUUAUAAAUUAUUUGGAUUAUUCCUGCUUUCUCAAGGGAUAUAUCACAUUUAUUUCCUCAUACUUAACAGACCUAGCAUUGAAUAGUUAGUUGGUAAACAUUUCUUGUGUUAACUUGAUUUUUCUUCACUUUUUAUGGAACUUAAUCUUCUGGCUCAAAACAGAACCCAAAAUGGUCUUACAUUGACAUGAUCGGACUGUUCUAUACUAUAGGUGUAGAGUAGCUAAAGGCAGAAGGCAGGACCUAUUCAUGCUUUUGAAACAAAUGUAAUGAGUGUGAAUUUGUUUCACAAUCCACAGGUACAUGAAAUACCAAAUUAAUUCUUACAAAUCUAAUUCCAACUGAAUGAGCCACUCCCAUUUAGGUUGACAGAAAACCUAAUCUCAGCCAUUCUCUGGCCACCAUCUACCCCACCCACCAACAUAAGAAGACUAGGGCUUGUGAAAUCUGCUUGUGGAAGGGCCUCUGGUCUGUCCCACAACCUUUAAUCACAGAACCUUGAAAUAUAUUAUCUACCCCCAAGUGAUUUAUUUCAUGAUGGGUGAUGCUAUUGCUUACUGAAUAACAGACUCCACUAGAGUCUUUCAUCUGCCUCUCAAAGCCACAGUAUUUAUCUACAGUAUUUAACCACAAACAGGGUUCUUAGCACUCCAACAUCCUCCAUGGUUCAACUUCUCCCCUUCAACUUUCUAGUCCUCCCUAAACAUUAAUCCAGUGCAGUAGCUCCAGAAGCACAGACCUAGGUAACAAAAGUGUCUCAACUCUCUCUUGGGGUAAGAGACAUUUAGAAUUCUGCACAAAACCCUCUAGCUACCCUUCAGUUAAUGGGGAUGGAGAAUAAAGAUCAAGAAAAUAAAAGAGAAAAGGUAGUUAUUUUUUCAUCAUUUCAUGGCACCACUGAAUAAGUUGUUUUCACUGGUUACCAAAUUCAUGCUUAAAGAUGAGGUAAAUACAACUAUGACAUUAUUUUAUAACAGAAGAACAUGUAUAAAGGUGUUUUUUUUCUUUUGUAAGGAAUUGGAGACAAUUAAUGAGGAAGAUGUGUGACCAGGAAAAUUAUAUUUCAGUAGUAUAAAAGGUUGAUCUGCUUUUUCCACUCCACAAUUUUCAAAAUGAUGUCAACUAUCUUUUUUUUUUAGGUGGGAAAAUGUCAUGUUCACAAUAAACCAACUUAUUUCC